rnacentral:rRNA from 1 species
UACAGAGGUCUCAAGCGUUGUUCGGAUUCAUUGGGCGUAAAGGGUGCGUAGGUGGCGGGGUAAGUCAGGUGUGAAAUUUCGGAGCUUAACUCCGAAACUGCAUUUGAUACUGCCUUGCUUGAGGACUGGAGAGGAGACUGGAAUUCACGGUGUAGCAGUGAAAUGCGUAGAUAUCGUAAGGAAGACCAGUGGCGAAGGCGAAUCUCUGGACAGUUACUGACACUGAGGCACGAAGGCCAGGGGAGCAAACGGG